UAUUUACAUUCGAUAGAAUUUUAUCCAUGAGAAACAUUAUGUCAUUUACUCUUUUUUUAGGUAAAAGAUUAUGUUCUAAUAAGAAAAACAAUGACAAAGAAACUUCUAUAUUACAUAGUAUAAUACAAAUUGUAAGGAACUUUUUUAUAUAUGAUCGAAUAAGGAUGAACUCCGUGAGCCUCCACAUCACCAAAGAGCUUCCAAUUCUCUUGCAAAUCUACCCACACACAACCACUCUUUUAUCAUGGUGUCAUAGCUACGCAUCGUGUCCUGCAGAUCUUUACCAGGAAUUGCAUUGUCUGCAACUUGGUCUUUAGCUGUUUACUCUAGUUCAACAAACUUUUGCAGCAAUGUUUCCAUAACCUACAUAUAAUCAAAAUAGAUCUCAUGUCAUCUAAUUCGUGCCGCAUCUAUUAAAGAUGGUUAGCAUAUUGGCCUAGCUUCCACUAUCAGAAACUGAAAUAAAUGAAAGAACAAAGAAUAACCUAAACUCAAGACUUUGGAACCACCAGAAGCUUUAAUACUACAUAACAAAGUUUCUCCUGAAUAAUAACAAAAUAGGCAUCCCUCCAUCUCUUCUUCAACACUAAUGCACUGCAUACCAUUGAAAAUCCCAUUGCAUAACCCAAAGACACCAACCUCCUCGACGAUUAGUCUCUUUCUCUUUCUCUCUCUCGUACAUAACUAAUUAAAUAAAAAUGCUGAUGGAAUUCGGCUCAUAAGGGAUCUGCUACUUGGAGAGUUUACCUGUUUGUGUGAGACUCUCCUUUCACUUGUGAGAGCCCGGGGUGGCUACCUUGUUCGUCGAGGCAGAGGAGUCUCCGACGACGGCACAGGGACAGUGGCGAGUCGGGGAGGCAAGGUUGAACGACUGUGAAUUAAAGCAAUCACAUAGAGUUAAUUAACAAAAUCUAAACCAAAACAGGGAAUUAAAGCAAUCACAUAGAGUUAAUUAACAAAAUCUAAACCAAAAAUCUGGAAAAAUAUAAAUAAAAAGGUGAAUCGCAGACAAACAACCAUAGAAGAAGAAGAAGAAGAAGAAGCUUACCGCCGCGCAAUUGUAAAAAACGAUUUGGCUUAAUAAUUCAAGGUAAUGAAUUUAUAGAUAAAAAUUAGGGUUUAAGUUUCCUUUGUUAAAAUCUUUCCAAAAAAUUUUCUUUCUAAGCAAAAGAUCAAACUUUACAAAAACGAUGGUUUUUUCCUAAUAUAAUUCUUACCAUGUAUUGCGUGAAAGAGAGGGAGGAGCCGACGAUUUCGCCGACCCCAAGGAAAGCGGCG
rnacentral:lncRNA from 1 species